UACAGAGGUCCCAAGCGUUGUUCGGAUUCACUGGGCGUAAAGGGUGCGCAGGUGGUCGGGUAAGUCUGACGUGAAAUCCCGCAGCUUAACUGCGGAAUGGCAUUGGAUACUAUUCGGCUAGAGGGUUGGAGGGGGGACUGGAAUUCUCGGUGUAGCAGUGAAAUGCGUAGAUAUCGAGAGGAACACCAGUGGCGAAGGCGAGUCCCUGGACAACUCCUGACGUGAGGCACGAAAGCUAGGGGAGCAAACAGG
rnacentral:rRNA from 1 species